GAACUGGGUUGGAAAUGGAGCAGCUAGGACUCAACUCAGUGCCGCAGGCAUCAGCUUUACCUGUUGUGCCGUGGUGCAGGCCCCAAGGUUGACCACAUUUAAGAAGACAGCCCUAGGCUGAAAUCCCAGGCUAUCAUAAAAGGACAAUGCAUAGCUCUUCUAUGUGUUGCUAUGGGAAGACCAUCCAGAUAUAUCUCUGGAGAGAAGAAUAGGAUAUGUCGGAGUUCUAGCUGGAUAAGUUGCACCUGCUGUCUUGGAAGCAAGUGUGAAAGAACUAUUAACACCAGAGACCCUCUUGGAUGGCCUGACAAGGUGGAGCUGGAUUUAUUCACAUCCAAGAGUAAAAGGGAGUCAUAGACUUCUGUUCUU